UAUCUUUUAAAUCUUUAAAUUCAUUAAGUCUAUUAUACGUACAAAUUACUAAAGUUCAAUAGUUUGAUUAGAAAAGACUUAUGCACCAUUGUUAAGAUAUAUAAUUUGUUAUGACACUAAAAAGCACUUAGCGCUUCUCGAGACCGAUUCUUUUUUCAAGGAUUACUUGCACAAUAUUCAUAUGUAUUUUUCUAGUUGUAGGUUGGGUUACUACACUUAGUGCUUGACCUGUGGACAGUCUAAAGGGAUAUUACUCCAACUUUUCAGCUAAUCUACUGUCCAUCCCUGUGUUCACAAUCUCCACGUCCUAGGUAGACAUCUUGAUAUUGAUUCUCUAUUGGAUCUGGAAUGGCCACCUGAGGAUCGAGGCGGUGAAAUUCGACCCAUAAGCUGCAUGAGGCUAUGGAGGGUAGUAACAACUCGAAUUUGACACCUCAGAUGAAGAAUAUCUAUGGGAGUCGUAGUUUGGUUGUGUAGAAUAGAAUCCGGUAUACAACUCGAAUCCAAAUACAUCUAGGGAUCUCACUGUACUUGCGGGGUCAUCUACAACAGCAAUGCCAUUCUUGAACCAUCUCGAGGGGGUCCAUCUUUUGUAUGCAAUUGUAUUCUCUCAAGCUUUACUAGAUCAUGCAUCGUAGUUUCCAUCCUAUGCAGCAUGAGUGAAUUGCGAUUCAUUGAUGAAUUGAUGACCAUGAGACUCUGAGUUAUAUGCAUCUGUGCCAUAUCCACUUCCACCUUUCUAACCAUUAGAUGCAUCAUCAUUU
rnacentral:lncRNA from 1 species